rnacentral:lncRNA from 1 species
GGGUGCCAGGAUAGUGAGAAAAACAAGAAAAGACACUGCUUUUUACCCCAUGCGGGGCAGAGCUGGUCUCCUUUCUGCAGGUGUUGAGGGGAGUUGAGUAGGAGCCCAGAGCUGGUACAGGCCCCGUUUAACGUGCCCCCGCAGAGUGAGGGCUGGGGGUCACCCCAUAGGCAGGGGAGCCCUUCUGGGAGGGAAUUCCUGCUUAGGUGGGAGGUUGACCUGAAUGACAUCUAGGUCCUCUACCUCCCAGAUGCCGAAUUUUCAGGGAAGGAACCAAAUGGAUGUAUGGCCCAUGCCUGGGUUUGAAUCCCAGUUCUGGCCUUCAUUCCUCCAGGCCUCCAUUUCCUUGUCUGCACUAUGGGGCCAUGGUGAGAACUCUGAAAUAACACCAACUGCCUGGUGCUUGGUCCUGCACCCAGGCUGGUAUGAAAAAGGUGCCGAGAAGGUCCCAUGCAUCACCAGCCUGGAGGUAGCAGCAGAAGGGAAACCAGUGCCUCUGAGAGUGGGCAACUGUGCCCCAUCCACCUCCUCUUCUUCUUGGAGAUCUCAAGAUAAGACAAGAGACAUCAACCUGGGAUUGGGUUUCUGGGCAGAGAGUAAAAGUGAGCUCCUUCUGCCUGUGCACGCAGCUUCCCUCGGUACUGGGAUAGCCGAGAUCCCUUACUAGAAGCAGCUCACAAAACCUCCCCCAGUUACUGGGAUAGCCCAGACACCUUCCUAGGGCAGCAGCGGAAGAAAGAAGGGGACAAAAUACCAACGACCAGAAAGAAGAAAGAACUUAGCCUCAGUCACCAGCCACUGGGAGCUGAUAGUAACUGAAGGGAUGGAAAGCCCUCUGGGACAGUUUUAGUGGGAGCCCUCCAGAGCCUGGAGAGACUGCAGGUGGAGCAGGAAGGUGGGGAAGAAUUAGAGCAGUGACCCCGGCCACUUUUGGCCUCACGGUUCUGCACAAUGAGACAUUGCUCAUCUUCAGAGAACCGUGCCAUUCUGGCCAUCUGGCAUCCUAGACAAUUUUCCACUGUCUCUCAGUAUCCAGCCAUCCAGCCAUCUAGCCUCCUAACUACUUCUCUGUGCUGGUCCAGCCCAGUGCUCAGAGUUAGGAUAUUUUUAUGAAUAAAACAGACCUAGCUUCUGCCCUCGUGGAGCUUACAGCGUGGGGCGAAAGGAGACUGAUCAAAAUGCCACACACAUGUAAUUUACAACCUUGGGAAGUGCCAAGAAGGGGAAGUGUUGGGUGCCACUGAGAACAUUCACAGAGGUUAACCUGGGGCUGAGGUGGAGGAAAGGUCAGAUGGAAGCUGUCUAACCACCCUGGGCUUCUGGCUUAGGAUGUGUAGGGCUAGCAGCUCAGCCCAUGAGGUUGUGUCUUGAACUUGGGUAUUGAUGGAAUAGCUAUAGAAACAGAACAACCAUGAAGUGAAGAUGGUGAAUGAAGAUCCUCUCAUCAGCUUGCGAUUGCAUGACAGAGGAGGCUGCAAGGACACUCAGGUGUGAAGACGGCUGUGCCACUGCAGGGCAUGCAGAAGGAAGAGAGCCUUCCAGAGGAAAGUCGCCUUGUUCCUUGCUUUGUGACCCUCAUCUCUGCGAGGUAGAGAAGAAAAGGAGGGCUCUUCCAUCGGGAGCUUCCAAGGUUCCGGGUGAGAGCUAGCCAGCUCUGCAUUUGGAGCAGAGAGAGACAGGAAUUUGGGACACUAGGUCACAAGUUGGUCUCUUCCUUUGUCAGCAGUCCAUUCAACAUGGCAAUGCCCACACCCACCUCACAAGGC